AAAGAGGGAGGUAGAAGGUAUACUAUACAGAUAGGAUGGAGAGAAUAGCAGGAGAGGACAGAGAAAGAGGGAGGUAGAAGGUAUACUAUACAGAUAGGAUGGAGAGAAUAGCAGGAGAGGACAGAGAAAGAGGGAGGUAGAAGAUAUACUAUAGAGAUAGGAUGGAGAGAAUAGCAGGAGGGGGGAGAGGACAGAGAAAGAGGGAGGUAGAAGGUAUACUAUACAGAUAGGAUGGAGAGAAUAGCAGGAGAGGACAGAGAAAGAGGGAGGUAGAAGGUGUACUAUAGAGAUAGGAUGGAGAGAAUAGCGGGAGAGGACAGAGAAAGAGGGAGGUAGA
ensembl:lncRNA